rnacentral:lncRNA from 1 species
GAUUUCCUUAGAGAGCUGGUGACCCACCCUGCUCAUGAUGAUGGGGAGAUUUUUUUUCCCACAGCAUAACAUUGGUCAGGUGCAAAAUCAUUUUUUUUUUCUUCCCUAGGCUCUACGGACACUGGUGAAUAUUAGCAUACUGUGCUCCAAGCUCCUGAUUUAGCAAGAACUGAUCUUCUAGAAAUGGGCCAGGCCCUUGGGUGCAACCUAGUUUUAUCGUUUACAGGAAAUUGGGACAUGGAGAAAAAGAGAGAGGAAUCUACCCGCGUUUUCAGUAAACUUACCCAAUGGGAGAAGAAGCACUUUCCCCCGUGGACCUCAUCGAAGCUCCUAGAUGGGGCCGUCCCAGGAGCUGCGAGCCUUGCUGCCCCGUGUCUGAAGAGUCAUGCAUUCUCCAGGCCUCUGUGAAGACACCAGUUUGUCCUUUGACCGUGUGCCAAAGAUGGAAAAAAAGAAGAGCUUCAGCAACUGUGAACCAGGAAAUUUUUUGUUUGUUUGUUUUUUUAAAACUAGAUUUGCCAACCUCGCCAAGAAAUGUUGUCUAA